CAGGUUUCCGUGGGGUAGGGUUGGAGGACUUGGGAGCUGUAUAGAACAAGAACUUUCUUCCACAUGAGGAUGCACAUCCACUCUGUCACCAUAUCCUAGGGUGCCUCUGGCCUUCAGGUCUGCAACUGGAUACUCACUUCCCCAGAAUGAAAGGAAACAGACGGUAGUCAAGGAGGUACAAUGGGGUUCCUAGACUGUAAUGAGAGUUGAGAAACUGAGCGAAGUAUAAGCCAGCAUGCAUGUGAGUGUGCACAGUCAUUUGCCUCUGCUCUCGACACUGUGAUGUGGCCAGCUGUUGGAAGAUCCUGCCCUGACUUCUGUACAAAGAUCGACUAUAAACUGGAAUUGGGAGCUGAAAUAAACCCUCCACCUCUACAUUGCUUUUUGUCUGGGUAUUUCAUCGCAGCGACAAAAAAAAAAAAAUUAAAAAGAAGGUAAGUGAGUGCUCCUGAGGAGUUCGUUCUUACCUGCUGGAGGCAGAGGUGCCUUGAGAGCAUCGGUCUGAAGACUCUGCCUGGGCACC
rnacentral:lncRNA from 1 species